ACGAACGCUGGCGGCGUGCUUAACACAUGCAAGUCGAACGGAAAGGCCUGCUUUCCCUUGUGGAUUGCGGGUGCUCGAGUGGCGAACGGGUGAGUAACACGUGAGUGAUCUGCCCCCAACUUGGGUAUAAGCCUGGGAAACUGGGUCUAAUUCCCGAUAGGACUGCAGGGUGGUGCCUGUGGUGGAAAACGAUUUUCUAGUGGUUGGGGAUGAGCUCGCGGCCUAUCAGCUUGUUGGUGGGGUAAUGGCCUACCAAGGCGGCGACGGGUGGCCGGCCUGAGAGGGUGGACGGCCACAUUGGGACUGAGAUACGGCCCAGACUCCUACGGGAGGCAGCAGUGGGGAAUAUUGCACAAUGGGCGGAAGCCUGAUGCAGCGACGCCGCGUGGGGGAUGACGGCCUUCGGGUUGUAAACUCCUUUCGACCGCGAGGAAGCCACCUGGUUGGAAGGGUGGUGACGGUAGUGGUAGAAGAAGCACCGGCUAACUACGUG
rnacentral:rRNA from 1 species